rnacentral:misc_RNA from 1 species
GGUGCAGUUCCAUUGACGGCCUUGAAGGCCAGCACCAUCAUCUUGAAUCGGAUGCUGGCCCCAACAGGAAGCCAGUGGAGGUCACGGAGGAGGGGGGUCACAUGGGAGAAUUUGGGAAGAUUGUAAACAAGGCGCGCUGCAGCGUUCUGGAUACGCUGCAACGGUUUAGCUGCAGAGGCUGGGAGUCCAGCCAAGAGGGAGUUGCAGUAGUCCAGGCGGGAGAUGACCAGCGCUUGGACCAGGAGUUGCGUUGCGUCUUUUGUGAAGAAAGACCGGAUCCUGCGGAUAUUGUAGAGGGAAGACCUGCAGGAUCGGGCCACAGC